UACGUAGGGGGCAAGCGUUGUCCGGAAUCAUUGGGCGUAAAGGGUGCGUAGGCGGCGGGGUAAGUCUGAUGUGAAAUACCGGGGCUCAACCCCGGAACUGCAUUGGAUACUGCCUUGCUAGAGAACUGGAGAGGAGACUGGAAUUUACGGUGUAGCAGUGAAAUGCGUAGAGAUCGUAAGGAAGACCAGUGGCGAAGGCGAGUCUCUGGACAGUAUCUGACGCUGAGGCACGAAGGCCAGGGGAGCAAACGGG
rnacentral:rRNA from 1 species